UCCCCAGCCCCACUUGCCCAGCAGUCAGUCACAUCAGGGCCAGUCAAGGCUGAAGGGUAGCAAAUAGCAUCAGGAACUGAGAGAUGCAAGCUUUAGACCCAGGAUUUUCUGUUUGAAAGGAAGCUUGGCACAAUGUCCAUUGUCUUCUCCAUUUGUGAAACACCAAGCGGAAUCUGGGCAGGCUGAUACGCAGAGCAAAACCUGAAAAUAUACUAGUGAUCCUGAGCCUGGGGGAUGCAGCUAAACCCAGCCAAAAGGAAUUUCUGAAAAGAUGAUCCUGGUUUACAUUUUCUUGAGUUUGGCUUUGCCAACUUCACCAGUCAGUUGUGAAAAUGCAAACAAAAAACUCAAACCAAAUCAGACAAAAACCCAAACAAACAAACAAACCCAUGCAGCAAACCAAUCAAACAAAUAGAUAAAAAAACCCCAAAUAAAACCAAAGGAAAUGAAGAGUUAGUACUAGUUGUGAGGAUAGCACAGCAGGCAAAUGGUUGCUUCCCACAGGAUCAUCAUCAGAAGCCACAUAGAAGAGCUGCUCCAAAAUAUACCCAAGAGGAGAAAAAGAAAAAGUGAUGCAUGGCAACUUUGGGGGCAGCUCCACAUUCAGGUGAAGGAUGAGCACGCAGUGGUACAGAUCCAGCAUUGCCCACCCUCCAGGCUGCUCUUUGCUCCUGAUGAAAGACCCUUGCAGGACUGUGGCCCCUCUCAGUGCAGUGCCAGUCAUUCCCAGAGCUCUCAGCUGAGCCACUGGCAUUUGCAGAGAGACAUCCAGCCGCAAUCCUACUGCCUGCUGAGCACCUGUGGAAGAUCCUGAGCAUCUUCACGCCUAGCAGCACAAAACAGCUCAGGAUUUCUCUGAACUGCUUUUCAGGAGAGGUUUCCAUAUCCCCGUGAGAUCUGUUCAUCCCUCAACACGUCUGACUUGAUGUACAAUGAUGCAUUUGGGUUGCUCCCUUCCCCCAGUGUGCCAGUGAGAAACCAUCCAUGGGAAUGGAGGAUGUUGUGUGCAGGGCAAUGUAUUCCUGGCUUGCCAUUUUGCUUCACUGUCACUCAGCUGAACAUGGUCCCUAUCUAAGAAGGACUUCGGAGAAAUGGGUAGGAAUUUUGGCUCUGAGAGGAGCAGAAAGCAUAUUUUCUAGACCACAUUGCCAGCAGAUGCUGUUUCCCUGGCAGAACAGUGAUUGCCACUCAUCUUCCUGGCAAGAAUGUCAAGACCCAUUCAGAGAUCCCAGGUUCAGCUGGCCUUUGGCUUUGUCUACCUCAUUUCACACAUCCACUUUCAAGGGCCAUUAGAAGAGGCACAUGUCUGCCUUGCUACCCAGAAGUGCUGUAGUUAUUCCCAGGAAAAAAAAAAAAAACCAAAAAUUGGCUGUCCUGUGGUGUGGUAGAAAUCCCAUCACAACUGUGACUCUGUGAGCAAAGACAACCGGUGCUUUUUGGGGCUGUAACAGCUGAGAGUGUGGCAGAGCAGGUUUGAUAUUCUUUUUAGAGUCCUGAAAACAUUGUUCCCAAAACAAUCUUUCUCUCCUGUCUUCUGUCAUCAACUGUGGAACAGAGGAACUGGAAGGGAUCAGAGGUUUGUUUAAAUUUGUGCUUAUUUUUAAGUCUUCAAAUAGUGUCAGCUCGAUGUGUGAUACUUUAGAAACUGGAUGAGUAGCACCUAUUUCAUCCCAGCGAGAGGUGGGAUUGAAGACUUCCAACAACAGAAACACUGGAUGUGCAGGAGCUCAGUUUUCCACCCCUCGCACAAGUAACUUGCUGUACUAUUUUCAGCAUCCUCAGCCAGAUCGAUUAAAAUACUGCUCCAAACAACAACAGAAUGAAAAUCUUCCACCAAAUGGGGAAAAGGAAGAAAAGUGGGCCGCAGCCGUUUCUUCAGAGCUUGUGUUGAUUUUGCCAAGUCAGAUGCAAACAAGGUUUGCCAUAUUUCUUUCCUAGAAAAAUGCAGCUAUUGAAUAGAAAUCUAUCUCUGAGGCUGCUAAGUUUGGUCCGAUUUUAGAGCUGGGAGGAGCAAAACAGGUUCCAGAGAAGCCGUGGUUGUGUCACCCUUGGAAGUGUUCAGGGCCAGGUUGGAUGGGGCUUGGAGCAACCUUAUUAGCGGAAGUUGUCCUGAGCCUGGUGAGUCCCUGAAAAAAACUUUUGGUUUUCCUGAAAUGCUGCCUUUGCAAGGGGAGGUCACAACUACCCCACGUAAUUUGAAAUGCCCUGGGCAGAACCCAACUGUUUUUUCUCGCAGGUGAGGAGGGAUUUUCACUUGUAUUUUAUGGGGGAUUUUGACAGGGCAGAGCAAGAGCAGCUGAAUGUGUCUGACAGGCAAAGAGGGCCAGUGUGGCAGCAGCUUAAUUCCAUGGAGCUUUUCCUUCUGUGAUCCUGUACAACCUGAGGCAGCACUCUGGGGCUCUUGAACCUGGCAGCUGGGCAAGUUAAUCAUUGGAACAAGUGAUAAAUUAAAUCCACUCUCUUGAGCAUGGGUGUGAUGAGCCUUAAGUAAACCUGUGAGCACUUGUCAGGAUGGGAGCUUGUUCUUUGCCAGGGAGGAGGGAGAAAAUAUUGCUUGGAGUAAAUAAAGCAACUCUGCUUCCCCUGGAAGAGGAAAAGAAGGAAUUAAAUAUGUGAAUGCUGCAUGGAGUCAUUUGCACAAGGCUAUAUCUUGUCUGCUAUGCAGGAAUGUUCUCAAUAAACCCUGCUUCUCCUGACCAUUA